rnacentral:rRNA from 1 species
UACCAGCACCCCGAGUGGUCGGGACGUUUAUUGGGCCUAAAGCAUCCGUAGCCGGUUCUACAAGUCUUCCGUUAAAUCCAACUGUUUAACAGGUGGGCUGCGGAAGAUACUAUAGAGCUAGGAGGCGGGAGAGGCAAGCGGUACUCGAUGGGUAGGGGUAAAAUCCGUUGAUCCAUUGAAGACCACCAGUGGCGAAGGCGGCUUGCCAGAACGCGCUCGACGGUGAGGGAUGAAAGCUGGGGGAGCAAACGGG